UUUUUGAUUUUAAUUUAAAGUCAAAUCUGCCCACUGAUUAAUAUUAAAGGGCUGCAGUAUAUUGACUGUACAAAGGUAGCAUAAUAAAUAGUCUUUUAAUUGAAGACUUGUAUGAAAGAUUUGAUGAGAUAUAAACUGUCUCUUUUUUAUAUUUAGAAUUUAAUUUUUUAGUAAAAAAGCUAAAAUUAUUUUAAAAGACGAGAAGACCCUAUAGAGUUUUAUAGUUAAUUUAUUUAUAAAUUUAUAUGUAAAAUUUAAAAUUUAAUUAAUUUAAUUAUUUUGUUGGGGUGAUAGAAAAAUAUAUUAAACUUUUUUUAAAAAAUUACAUUAAUUAAUGAGUAUAUGAUCCAUAAAUUAUGAUUAAAAGAAAAAAUUACCUUAGGGAUAACAGCGUAAUUUUUUUUUUUAGUUCUUAUAGGAAAAAGAGUUUGCGACCUCGAUGUUGGAUUAAGAUAAAAUUUAAAUGUAGAAGUUUAAAAUUUUUGAUCUGUUCGAUCAUUAAAAUCUUACAUGAUCUGAGCUCAAACC
rnacentral:rRNA from 1 species